rnacentral:rRNA from 1 species
UGGGGAAUUUUGGACAAUGGGCGCAAGCCUGAUCCAGCCAUGCCGCGUGAGUGAAGAAGGCCUUCGGGUUGUAAAGCUCUUUCGGACGGGAAGAAAUGGCGGGCUCUAAAAUAGCCUGUCGAUGACGGUACCGUAAGAAGAAGCACCGGCUAACUACGUGCCAGCAGCCGCGGUAAUACGUAGGGUGCGAGCGUUAAUCGGAAUUACUGGGCGUAAAGCGUGCGCAGGCGGUUUUGUAAGACAGAUGUGAAAUCUCCCGGCUUAACUGGGAGGGUGCGCCGAAGACUGGGAAGCUGGAGUGUGGGAAAGUCAGGCGGAAUUCCUGGUGUAGCGGUGAAAUGCGUAGAUAGCAGGAGGAACACCGGCGGUGUAGACGGCUUGCUAGACCAUAACUGACGCUGAGGCACGAAAGCGUGGGUAGCAAACA